GCAGCAGGUAAGGAAUCUUCCACAAUGGACGCAAGUCUGAUGGAGCAACGCCGCGUGAGUGAAGAAGGGUUUCGGCUCGUAAAGCUCUGUUGUUAAAGAAGAACGUGGGUGAGAGUAACUGUUCACCCAGUGACGGUAUUUAACCAGAAAGCCACGGCUAACUACGUGCCAGCAGCCGCGGUAAUACGUAGGUGGCAAGCGUUAUCCGGAUUUAUUGGGCGUAAAGCGAGCGCAGGCGGUCUUUUAAGUCUAAUGUGAAAGCCUUCGGCUCAACCGAAGAAGUGCAUUGGAAACUGGGAGACUUGAGUGCAGAAGAGGACAGUGGAACUCCAUGUGUAGCGGUGAAAUGCGUAGAUAUAUGGAAGAACACCAGUGGCGAAGGCGGCUGUCUGGUCUGUAACUGACGCUGAGGCUCGAAAGCAUGGGUAGCGAACAGGAUUAGAUACCCUGGUAGUCCAUGCCGUAAACGAUGAUUACUAAGUGUUGGAGGGUUUCCGCCCUUCAGUGCUGCAGCUAACGCAUUAAGUAAUCCGCCUGGGGAGUACGACCGCAAGGUUGAAACUCAAAAGAAUUGACGGGGGCCCGCACAAGCGGUGGAGCAUGUGGUUUAAUUCGAAGCUACGCGAAGAACCUUACCAGGUCUUGACAUCUUCUGCCAACCUAAGAGAUUAGGCGUUCCCUUCGGGGACAGAAUGACAUGGUGGUGCAUGGAUGUCGUCCAGCUUCCUUUCCUGU
rnacentral:rRNA from 1 species